rnacentral:rRNA from 1 species
UACAGAGGUCUCAAGCGUUGUUCGGAUUCAUUGGGCGUAAAGGGUGCGUAGGCGGCGCGGUAAGUCGGGUGUGAAAUUUCGGAGCUUAACUUCGAAACUGCAUUCGAUACUGCCGUGCUUGAGGACUGGAGAGGAGACUGGAAUUUACGGUGUAGCGGUGAAAUGCGUAGAUAUCGUAAGGAAGACCAGUGGCGAAGGCGGGUCUCUGGACAGUUCCUGACGCUGAGGCACGAAGGCCAGGGGAGCAAACGGG